rnacentral:rRNA from 1 species
GAACCGUCCGAACGUUAUUCGGAAUCAUUGGGCUUAAAGGGUGCGUAGGCGGCGCGGAAAGUUGGGUGUGAAAGCCCUCGGCUCAACCGAGGAAUUGCGCUCAAAACUGCCGUGCUAGAGGGAGGUAGGGGUGAGUGGAACUUAGGGUGGAGCGGUGAAAUGCGUUGAUAUCCUAAGGAACGCCGGUGGCGAAAGCGACUCACUGGACCUCUUCUGACGCUGAGGCACGAAAGCUAGGGUAGCGAACGGGAUUAGAUACCCCGGGUAGUCCUAGCUGUAAACGAUGAGCACUUGGUUGGAGGGUCUUCCACAAUCUUCCGGCCGUAGCGAAAGUGUUAAGUGCUCCGCCUGGGGAGUAUGGUCGCAAGGCUG